rnacentral:rRNA from 1 species
UUUGGUGGCGAUAGCGAAGAGGUCACACCCGUUCCCAUGCCGAACACGGAAGUUAAGCUCUUCAGCGCCGAUGGUAGUCGGGGGUUUCCCCCUGUGAGCCCCCUGUGAGAGUAGGACGCCGCCAAGC